CUGGAGGUAUCAGAAGUGCGAAUGCUGACAUAAGUAACGAUAAAGCGGGUGAAAAGCCCGCUCGCCGGAAGACCAAGGGUUCCUGUCCAACGUUAAUCGGGGCAGGGUGAGUCGACCCCUAAGGCGAGGCCGAAAGGCGUAGUCGAUGGGAAACAGGUUAAUAUUCCUGUACUUGGUGUUACUGCGAAGGGGGGACGGAGAAGGCUAUGUUGGCCGGGCGACGGUUGUCCCGGUUUAAGCGUGUAGGCUGGUUUUCCAGGCAAAUCCGGAAAAUCAAGGCUGAGGCGUGAUGACGAGGCACUACGGUGCUGAAGCAACAAAUGCCCUGCUUCCAGGAAAAGCCUCUAAGCAUCAGGUAACAUCAAAUCGUACCCCAAACCGACACAGGUGGUCAGGUAGAGAAUACCAAGGCGCUUGAGAGAACUCGGGUGAAGGAACUAGGCAAAAUGGUGCCGUAACUUCGGGAGAAGGCACGCUGAUAUGUAGGUGAAGUCCCUUGCGGAUGGAGCUGAAAUCAGUCGAAGAUACCAGCUGGCUGCAACUGUUUAUUAAAAACACAGCACUGUGCAAACACGAAAGUGGACGUAUACGGUGUGACGCCUGCCCGGUGCCGGAAGGUUAAUUGAUGGGGUCAGCGCA
rnacentral:rRNA from 1 species